rnacentral:lncRNA from 1 species
AUGUGGGGAAUUUUCUCCUUCUCACCCUACUUGGGAGGAUGGGAGCUUCUGUCUUCCUUGGGAGAAGUACAGUUGCUGCCAAGGGAAACACAGCUGAGGAGCAGUAGUGACCCAGCCUUCCCUUUGCUUCCUUUCUUCUUCCCUCCCUGCUGCACAGCUCCUUGGUGCCAGAAGCGCAGUGCUGCCUCACCUGAGGAUUCAGAGCUGCCUCCAGGCCCUUCCAGGACAAGUCCAGAUCCUCAAGGGCGUGAAGCUUCCCCAGCACGUGCCAAGAAAGUGUUUGCUACAUCUGGACUUGGGGUUUCAUCAGGCCAGCCAGGCACACACAAAUUUCAAUUCCAGCCAGAGCUCAUGACUCCACCAUUUCCUGCGCACCAUCAAAGCACUUCUGCGGCCUCUCCAGAGAGCAGCAGCUGCACUUCUCCAGAGCAGCACUUGCCAGCCAACAUCCCAUCAGCUGCCCCGGGCACUUCAGUCCCCAGUGCUCCAGCUGGCAGUGCUGGUUAUGCAGCAUGGAGAGCCCCAAGCUGGGUCUGGAGUACUCCUGGGGAAGAGGAAUUGCCACCGCUGGAUCUGGACCUUGUUCUGGAGACACUGGAGGAGAUGCUUUCACCAUCUGUGCCUGAAAGGUCUCCCUCUGCUCAGGUCAAUGCUAGUGUUGCCCGUGGCUCUUCAGGAGGGGAGGCUGUGAACAAGGCUGCAGCAGAGGGAGCUUUGCCUGCUUGCGGGAGCCGUGUGAACGUUUGCCAGGAGCCCGAGGAGCUUGAUAUCCAUGUGAUCUACCUGGCCAGAAGGGCUGCCCUGCGUGGGAAGAAGGAUCAGAGGGAGAGCCUGUGA